UCUUGAAACUCUCAUUUAUUCAAAUUCUUAUUUAUUUCAUAUGAUUGUCAUAUACUUGUUUAUCAAUUGUUGGGUUCUCAUCUGUGCUCAAUGCUUUUAUUGUUUAACUCAUUCAGUAAAAGANGUUUGUCUUUAUCGAUAUAGGGACGUACGAUAAUGUCAUGAACUAGUGGGAAAUUCCUUGAUUAUGCCAAUAUCGCUUAGGGAUAGGGGCAGGGCGGUCAAUUGUAUUUGCUUCCGAUCGCAUUGCAUUAUUGGUUACUAGGGGAGGCUAGGGAUAGCAAGCCGGUAAUUAGUAAUAGGCUCUUUUCACCAAGGGAUUGGGUUAAGGGUAAUUAAGAAAGUAUGCAUGGCAAUUAGAUAAAUAAGUGAAUUAAAUAAGAAGAGUAGAUAUAUGAGAGUGGAUAAGAUGAAAUUGUAAACCCCAACAACACCAUUCAUCCAUAGUUUCUCAAAACCAACUGAAUCAAUUGCAUUGCAUGUUUAUUUUUGUUCUUUGCAUAUAACCAUCAAAUUAAUUCUCUUUUCUCAAGUCUUACGUGAUUAGGUUACAUAAAAGUUAAGGCCUAAGAGUCCUUUGGGAAAACGAUACUCGGACUUACCCAUUUAUAUUACUUGAUAACGAUCUGGUACACUUGCCAGGGACUUAACACUACACCGCACG
rnacentral:lncRNA from 1 species